rnacentral:rRNA from 1 species
AGUAGGGAAUCUUCCACAAUGGACGCAAGUCUGAUGGAGCAACGCCGCGUGAGUGAAGAAGGUCUUCGGAUCGUAAAACUCUGUUGUUAGAGAAGAACACGAGUGAGAGUAACUGUUCAUUCGAUGACGGUAUCUAACCAGCAAGUCACGGCUAACUACGUGCCAGCAGCCGCGGUAAUACGUAGGUGGCAAGCGUUGUCCGGAUUUAUUGGGCGUAAAGGGAACGCAGGCGGUCUUUUAAGUCUGAUGUGAAAGCCUUCGGCUUAACCGGAGUAGUGCAUUGGAAACUGGAAGACUUGAGUGCAGAAGAGGAGAGUGGAACUCCAUGUGUAGCGGUGAAAUGCGUAGAUAUAUGGAAGAACACCAGUGGCGAAAGCGGCUCUCUGGUCUGUAACUGACGCUGAGGUUCGAAAG